rnacentral:rRNA from 1 species
AGUGAACGCUGGCGGUAGGCCUAACACAUGCAAGUCGAACGGCAGCACAGUAAGAGCUUGCUCUUACGGGUGGCGAGUGGCGGACGGGUGAGGAAUACAUCGGAAUCUACUUUUUCGUGGGGGAUAACGUAGGGAAACUUACGCUAAUACCGCAUACGACCUACGGGUGGAAGCAGGGGAUCUUCGGACCUUGCGCGAUUGAAUGAGCCGAUGUCGGAUUAGCUAGUUGGCGGGGUAAAGGCCCACCAAGGCGACGAUCCGUAGCUGGUCUGAGAGGAUGAUCAGCCACACUGGAACUGAGACACGGUCCAGACUCCUACGGGAGGCAGCAGUGGGGAAUAUUGGACAAUGGGCGAAAGCAUGAUCCAGCCAUACCGCGUGGGUGAAGAAGGCCUUCGGGUUGUAAAGCCCUUUUGUUGGGAAAGAAAAGCAGCAGGUUAAUACCCCGCUGUUCUGACGGUACCCAAAGAAUAAGCACCGGCUAACUUCG